rnacentral:tRNA from 1 species
GCCCGUGUAGUUUAACGGCAAAACGAAUUCAUGGUAAGAAUUAGACGGGAGUUCGACUCUCCCCUCGGGCU